rnacentral:rRNA from 1 species
UGGGGAAUCUUGCACAAUGGGGGCAACCCUGAUGCAGCGACGCCGCGUGAGCGAUGAAGGUUUUCGAAUCGUAAAGCUCUGUCCUAUGGGUAGAUAAUGACGGUACCAUAGGAGGAAGCCCCGGCUAACUACGUGCCAGCAGCCGCGGUAAUACGUAGGGGGCGAGCGUUGUCCGGAAUUACUGGGCGUAAAGGGUUCGCAGGCGGCAUGGCAAGUCCGAUGUAAAAGGCGAAUGCUCAACCUUCGUAAGCAUCGGAAACUGUCAAGCUUGAGUGAAGGAGAGGCAAGUGGAAUUCCUAGUGUAGCGGUGGAAUGCGUAGAUAUUAGGAGGAAUACAGGUGGCGAAGGCGACUUGCUGGACUUCAACUGACGCUGAGGAACGAAAGCGUGGGUAGCAAACAGG